UGUGACACCAUUUUGACAAAUCGCAGUGAACUUAUCAGUACCCGUUUCACAGGGGCAACUGGCAGGGCAUUUCUGUUCAACCGUGUGGUCAACCUAAAUUAUAGCUUCUGUUAUGGAUCCUGCCACAACUAAUCCAGCCACACAUACUACUACUGUAACUUUGGGCUCCACACUGUUGGCAGAGGAAGUCUUGGCCUUAGUGAGUUGUGAACUAGUGUCUUACAUGCGGUAUGCAAUGUCUCCUGAGGUGCGAUCGGAUCUCCCUUUUCCUGAAGAAUCUGUCCCUAAGGAUGAUGACUUGGACAGCCUUUUUCCACCUCCUGCUUUAGCAGUUCCUUCCUGGUCUGCCCCUUGGUUCUUCCUCGUCCUUUCUGGACAUGAUCUCUCAGUGAAGUUCAGGACAGAGUGAUGUUGACAGGUCGACACAUGGUUCGUGACGUAGCCUGUAAAAACUGUGACACCAAGCUGGG